CAGCCGGAGGUAACUGCUGCGGUUACUAAAUUCGUACUACCUUCUUUCUGAAGCAUCUUCUUCAGUUUCGCAUCAUUACAGGAAACAAUAUGAAUCCGUAUAACUGAGUGACUUUGUGGCAUAGACGGUUGCAAAUACGUACCGGCUCGUGUAUUCGAAGUUGUGCGAUGGUCGUUCACAGCUGCAAUGCAUGUUGUUGCACUAUUGCACCCUCGAUCGCAGAAGCAAUGUAGGAUUCUGGAACGAAAUGGCGCAUCAAUGCAGGUAGAGGAACUCAAACCACCUGGACAUUGCCGACUACAUAAAAUAAGCCUAGAUGAAAAAAAAGAA